rnacentral:lncRNA from 1 species
CUGGCCCCACCUGAUUUAUGAACUGAGGCUGUCUCCAUGAGCGUCUGGGUUUCUCCUUUUGUAUUCCAUCUGGCGGCUUUUCCAACUAGAUGACUGGGUAUUCCGGCAAGCAGGCCCCUUUCCAGCCCUUGCCUUCAUACAGUACAUUUAAAGUAGCAGUAACCUCUUUUUCCUCCCCCCGCAGCCUGGCUGGAAACAUUAGAAGGGACCGAGGCAGCGAGAUGUCUAAAAUAGGAAGACGCUGGGGACGAUUGGCCUGGCUGGCCGCGACGCUGGCUGUGGGGAUCUGGCCGGCUGUGCAGACGGAAAAGCUAAGAGUUUCCAGGUUUUGUGGUGAGUCAGGAAAAACCAGAGAAGCCUGGAAGCGUUUUACCGACACGGCAAUGACGGCAGUCCAUGCAAUUCAGCAAACUUUAGCCAGAGACGGUGCCAAGGGCUGGAGACACAGAAAUGAAUCAGAGUCCCUGCCUAAGAGGAUCUUCUCCACCAGGACAGGAGGUCGGGGGUGGCGGGGGGCGGGUAGGGAGGUGUACCCAUCGGCCAGCAGAGGGAUAGCUGGGCGGAGUGAUCACGCCCUCCUGUCACAGGCAGGGUUGGAAAGGAGCUUUUAGGACGGCAGGUUUUCCAGCAGGUAGACAAGGGGAGGUGGCAGAGAGAGAGAGCAGGCAGGACAGAAGGACCUGAGAAAGCAAACGCCAGGUAGUGGGGCCACAGAGGCAGCUGAUUUGCUUGGUACAGAAGAUACUACAUAUCAGGGAUCAGCAAACUUUUCCUGUAAAGAUAGUAAAUAUCCGAGGCUCUGCGAGCCACCCAGCCUCUGUUGUAACCACUCAAUCUGCCGUUGUAGCUCAGAAGCGGUCAUGGACGAUACAUAAAUGAGUGAGCCUGGCUGUGUUCCAACAAAGCUUUGUUGACCCUGAAAUUUGAAUUUCAUAUGAUUUUCUUGUGUCAUGAAAUAGUAUUCUUCUUUCGAUCAUUUCCCAACCAUUUAAAAAUGUAAAAAGCACUCUUAGCCCACAGGCCGUGCAAAAACAGGUGACGUGCUGAUCUGGCCAGGGGGCUGUUUCGCCGACCCCCGCUGUAGGUGUGUUUGGGAAAACCAGGAGAUUGUGCUUGAAUGUUGGGUAGAAGAGCCCUAGUGUCAGGGCGAGGAUUGGGGGGUUGUUUUGGUCAGAGGUUGGUAACAGACCCCACACCCGCUGCCCUGGGUGAUGAACUUGCCCCUAACCCAUCAACCCACCCACCACCUGCCCAACUACCGUCAAAGCAUAGCCGGCCACCAAGAAGCAGGAAAACAUGUGUUCAGAUCAAGAGCUGAAACCUACAAAGGGACAAUUUCUUUAAAAUUGUGUGCAAUUACAUAGGAAUACAAGCUUAUUAUUAAAAGAAUAGUCAAUAGGAAGUAUAUAGACUUUCCCUUCCAGUUCUCACUCUGUUCCCCCGGGGUGACCAUGGUUAGGAAGUGGAUGAGUGAGUCCAGCCCCCUUUCCAGUGUACAUGCACAUGGACACACAGACAUACAGACACACACACAGAGCACAUGGCUCAUUCUAGAUGAUUGUUUUAUGACAUGCUUUUGUCACUUAACAAGUCAACCCCAAAUCUUCCCAUCUCAACACGUGGAUCCAUCCUCUUUGAUUUUUGUAUUGGCCACCAAGUGCUGUAAGGUGGGCUGUGGCACCAUUCACCCAGUGGUCCUCUACUGAGGGACAUCCAGACUGGUCCCUGUUGUAUGUGAAUACAAGCAGUGCUGCUGUGAUCCUCACAGUGCACAUGUCUAUUUCUGUGCACUGGUGCUGGCAUUUUUGUUGGAGAGAUUCUCAGAAGCAGAAAUGCUAUGUCAAAUGGCAUGAGAACUUGAAAUGUGGAUCAAGGUGGCAUAUUGGAGCAAUUUCUCAUUGCAAAUCAUCUAGGGCCUGGGGAGGUCCCACAGGAGCCGGUAAGGAUGUGGGCCCUCAGAAUCUCAGGUGCUCUGAAAUGACUCUGGGGCUCAGGUGUCUCCAGGUGGACAGACUUGCCUCCCUCUGCAGAAUCGGGCCUGGGACGACACCUGCCCAGUCAACACCUUGAUCCAUCCUUUUCUCCAUCCAAUCAUCCACCCAUUUAUCCAUCUACCUACCCACCCAUCCAUCCACCCAUCCAUCCAUCCAUAUACCCAUCCAUCCACCUACCCUUCCAUCCAUGCAUCCAUCCACCCAACCAUCCACCCAUCUACCCAUUCACGCAUUCAGUAUUUAAUGAGCACUGAUGAUGGCUUGAGUACUUGGGUGUUGGUCAUGAAUACAAUCACAUUCCUGCUUUUUAGUCUUCACUGUCUGGUGAAAGAGGGUCUCCUUCACCAGAUGUGCCAGAUACCGAGAAUACACAGGGAACACAAGAGAACAAAUCCCUGCCCUCUCAGAUUUACAUUCUAGUGGAGGAGACAGAUAAUAAACACAUAAAUAAAUAUGAUAUCUCA